UUAAGUUCAGCGGGUAUUCCUACCUGAUCCGAGGUCAACCACAAAAAAAUUGGGGGGUUUAGCGGCUGAGAGCAGCGGCACCUGACAAAAGCGAGAUAAAGAUUUACUACGCUCAGAGGAUACCACAGAUCCGCCGUUGGAUUUGGGGAACUACCCUUGCGGGUAGGCUCCCAACACUAAGCUAGGCUUAAGGGUUGAAA
rnacentral:misc_RNA from 1 species